CCUACGGGUGGCAGCAGUGGGGAAUAUUGCACAAUGGGCGAAACCCUGAUGCAGCGAAGCCGCGUGAGUGAAGAAGUAGUACGUUAUGUCAAGCUCUAUCAGCAGGGAAGAAAAUGACGGUACCUGAGUAAGAAGCACCGUCUAACUACGUGCCAGCAGCCGCGGUAAUACGUAGGGGGCCAGCGUUAUCCGGAUUUACUGGGUGUAAAGGGAGCGUAGACGGCAGUGCAAGUCGGGAGUGGGAGGCGUGGGCUCAACCCCCGGACUGCCGUGGAAACUGUACGGCUGGAGUGCGGGGGAGGUAAGUGGAAUGCGUGGUGUAGCGGUGAAAUGCGUAGAUAUUAGGCGGAACACCAGUGGCGAAGGCGGCUUGCUGGACUGUAACUGACGUUGAGGCACGAAAGCGUGGGGAGCGAACAGGAUUAGAUACCCUAGUAGUC
rnacentral:rRNA from 1 species